rnacentral:rRNA from 1 species
UACGUAGGGUGCAAGCGUUAAUCGGAAUUACUGGGCGUAAAGCGUGCGCAGGCGGUGAUGUAAGACAGAUGUGAAAUCCCCGGGCUCAACCCGGGAACUGCCAAGAAUACUCACGGACUUAGAGGGAAUCAGGGGGUGCUGGAACUCAUGGUGUAGUAGUAAAAUGCGUUGAUAUCAUGAGGAACACCAAAGGCGAAGGCAGGCACCUGGGAUUCACCUGACGCUAAGACUCGAAAGCGUGGGGAGCGAAACGG